GGAAAAGGGGACAACAGAGGAUGAGAUGGCUGGAUGGCAUCACCGACUCAAUGGACGAUCCGUUGAAUUGUUACUUUGUGUUUCACAGCUGGGAAUUUGUGAAUGGAUUCUUCCCUCAUCGACUAGUUCUAAUUGCCUUAUAAAAAAAUCUAAAACUG